rnacentral:tRNA from 1 species
GGGGGGGUGCACAGCGAGUGUACUCCGAAAGGGGUACCGAGGGUUCGAAUCCCUCUCUCUCCGCCA